AUUGAACGCUGGCGGCAGGCCUAACACAUGCAAGUCGAACGGUAACAGGAAGAAGCUUGCUUCUUUGCUGUCGAGUGGCGGACGGGUGAGUAAUGUCUGGGAAACUGCCUGAUGGAGGGGGAUAACUACUGGAAACGGUAGCUAAUACCGCAUAACGUCGCAAGACCAAAGAGGGGGACCUUCGGGCUUCUUUCCAUUGGCUGUGCCCAGAUUGGUUUAGCUAUUAGGUGGGUUAACGGUUCACCUAGUCGACGAUACCUAGCUGGUCUGAGAGGAUGACCAGCCACACUGGAACUGAGACACGGUCCAGACUCCUACGGGACGCGGCAGUGUGGAAUAUUGCACGAUGGGCGCAAGCCUGAUGCAGCCAUGCCGGGUGUAUGAAGAAGGCCUUCGGGUUGUAAAGUACUUUCAGCGGGGAGGAAGGGAGUAGAGUUAAUACCUUUGCUCAUUGACGUUUCCCGCAGAAGAAGCACCGACUAACUCCGUG
rnacentral:rRNA from 1 species